UUCUACAGUGCGGAGAUCAGGCAAUUUCUCUCUCUGCUCUUGCUUUGAACUCUUCUGUUGGUAUUGUUGGUUUUGCUGCUCUAUUUCUUGUCAGUA